rnacentral:tRNA from 39 species
GCCCGCGUAGCUCAGUGGAUAGAGCGUCUGCCUCCGGAGCAGAAGGUCGUAGGUUCGAAUCCUGUCGCGGGCACCA